UUACAUGGUAAAUGGUAAAUCUUACUAUUUUUUUUUCUUUUUUUUUUCUGACGGAGUGGGUGUCCGGACACGAUAACCACGAAACUCGGAUCCUUGCAGGCACUGAACACCAGCUCCUAAGGAGGUUUGCUGAGACCAACCGAGCUGCCCAUGAGGGGCAGGCAAUUUGGUGAGAGGCAAGGGUUGAACCCCUAACCUCCCACCCCACCAAGACAGGUGGUGG
rnacentral:lncRNA from 1 species